rnacentral:tRNA from 1 species
GCCCGCUUGGGUCAGCCGGCCGAGGCCACGGCGGCCUUGGACGGCGCCGAGUUUCGGUUCGGCGCGACGCCGAUCCUCGCCGCGGCGCGGGCGC